rnacentral:rRNA from 1 species
GGUGAACGCUAGUAGUAUGCUUAACACAUGCGAGUCGAACGGAGAAUAAUUCUCCGUGGCGUACGGGUGAGUAACACACAGGAAUCUGCCUUUUAGUUCAGGAUAAAAUUCUGAAUAAUCAAAGAAAACUUUUCGCUAAAAGAUGAGCCUGUGUAGGAUUAGGUAGUUGGUAUUUGGGUAAAAGCCUACCAAGCCUAUGAUCCUUAGCUGUUCUGAGAGGUUGUACAGCCACACUGGGACUGAGACAAGGCCCAGGCUUCAUUUGGAGCCAGCAGUGAGGAAUUUUGGACAAUGAGCGAAAGCUUGAUCCAGCAAUACUACAUGAGUGAUGAAGGCUUUCAAGUUGUAAAACUCUUUGGUUGAGGAGGAUAAUGACAGUACUCAACAAAAUAGCCCUGGCUAACUUCGUG